rnacentral:rRNA from 1 species
UAGAGUUGGAAGAGUUGCGAACGGGUGAGUAACGCGUAGGUAACCUGCCUAUUAGUGGGGGAUAACUAUUGGAAACGAUAGCUAAUACCGCAUAAUAGUGUUUAACACAUGUUAGAGACUUAAAAGAUGCAAUUGCAUCACUAGUAGAUGGACCUGCGUUGUAUUAGCUAGUUGGUGGGGUAACGGCCUACCAAGGCGACGAUACAUAGCCGACCUGAGAGGGUGAUCGGCCACACUGGGACUGAGACACGGCCCAGACUCCUACGGGAGGCAGCAGUAGGGAAUCUUCGGCAAUGGGGGCAACCCUGACCGAGCAACGCCGCGUGAGUGAAGAAGGUUUUCGGAUCGUAAAGCUCUGUUGUAAGAGAAGAACGUGUGUGAGAGUGGAAAGUUCACACAGUGACGGUAACUUACCAGAAAGGGACGGCUAACUACGUGCCAGCAGCCGCGGUAAUACGUAGGUCCCGAGCGUUGUCCGGAUUUAUUGGGCGUAAAGCGAGCGCAGGCGGUUUAAUAAGUCUGAAGUUAAAGGCAGUGGCUUAACCAUUGUUCGCUUUGGAAACUGUUAAACUUGAGUGCAGAAGGGGAGAGUGGAAUUCCAUGUGUAGCGGUGAAAUGCGUAGAUAUAUGGAGGAACACCGGUGGCGAAAGCGGCUCUCUGGUCUGUAACUGACGCUGAGGCUCGAAAGCGUGGGGAGCAAACAGGAUUAGAUACCCUGGUAGUCCACGCCGUAAACGAUGAGUGCUAGGUGUUAGGCCCUUUCCGGGGCUUAGUGCCGCAGCUAACGCAUUAAGCACUCCGCCUGGGGAGUACGACCGCAAGGUUGAAACUCAAAGGAAUUGACGGGGGCCCGCACAAGCGGUGGAGCAUGUGGUUUAAUUCGAAGC